AUUGAACGCUGGCGGCAGGCCUAACACAUGCAAGUCGAGCGGCAGCACGGGAGCAAUCCUGGUGGCGAGUGGCGAACGGGUGAGUAAUAUAUCGGAACGUGCCCAGUCGUGGGGAUAACGUAGCGAAAGCUACGCUAAUACCGCAUACGAUCUAUGGAUGAAAGCGGGGGAUCGCAAGACCUCGCGCGAUUGGAGCGGCCGAUAUCAGAUUAGGUAGUUGGUGAGGUAAAGGCUCACCAAGCCGACGAUCUGUAGCUGGUCUGAGAGGACGACCAGCCACACUGGGACUGAGACACGGCCCAGACUCCUACGGGAGGCAGCAGUGAGGAAUUUUGGACAAUGGGCGCAAGCCUGAUCCAGCAAUGCCGCGUGCAGGAUGAAGGCC
rnacentral:rRNA from 1 species